AGCCGAGUCACCACAGGUUUUCCUGCAGGUGAUUCUUGGUGGGGUUGGGACCUCCUGAGCAGUGCAGGGACAGGGGACAGCCCCGCAGGAACAAGGGGACAGCUGGGUGUGCAGGACCCACAUCCCUCCUCCCUUGUGGAGCAGGAUGGGCUGUGGACGGGCUGUGGGGGCUCCGGGCACGGGCACACGGCUGGGGGCAGAUGGGCACCUGUGAGCUGGAGGAGCCGAAAGCUGAGAAACGGUCCCCAAAAUCACUGUCACUUCGAGGUUUCAGGAACCUCACAGGGCAUGGGCACAGCCCCAGGGUGCCCACCCUCUCACCUCCACCUCACAGGGAGCAGAGAUAUGACCGAAUAGAUCCAGUUACACGUCUGUCUGUGAACUGCAAAGAUUGAAUUUGGUUGUUCCUUUACCCUGAGAAUCGCCGACAGAGAUCACAGGGAAAAAAAACAGAGCACAAGCUGCCGUCCCAGCCUUUGUGGGGCCACGGGGCUCUGCCGGAGCAUCCCCAGCCCUUGGCAGUGCAGGGGGUCGGAGCUGCCUCCAUGCAUGGCUGGGAAUCGUCUCCAACAUCCUCGCCGCGAGGGAGCCAGGCACUGUCAGCUCGCG
rnacentral:lncRNA from 1 species